rnacentral:rRNA from 1 species
GUCGCUACUACCGAUUGAAUGGCUCGGUGAGGCCUUCGGACUGGCUCAGGAGGGUUGGCAACGACCCCCCAGAGCCGGAAAGUUGGUCAAACCCGGUCAUUUAGAGGAAGUAAAAGUCGUAACAAGGUUUCCGUAGGUGAACCUGCGGAAGGAUCAUUA